AACGAACGCUGGCGGCAGGCUUAACACAUGCAAGUCGAGCGCCUCGCAAGAGGAGCGGCCGACGGGUGAGUAACGCGUGGGAACGUACCCUUAUCUUCGGAAUAGCUCUGGGAAACUGGAAGUAAUACCGAAUGUGCCCUUAGGGGGAAAGAUUUAUCGGAUAAGGGUCGGCCCGCGUUGGAUUAGCUAGUUGGUGGGGUAAAGGCCUACCAAGGCGACGAUCCAUAGCUGGUCUGAGAGGAUGAUCAGCCACAUUGGGACUGAGACACGGCCCAAACUCCUACGGGAGGCAGCAGUGGGGAAUAUUGGACAAUGGGCGCAAGCCUGAUCCAGCCAUGCCGCGUGAGUGAUGAAGGCCUUAGGGUUGUAAAGCUCUUUCACCGGAGAAGAUAAUGACGGUAUCCGGAGAAGAAGCCCCGGCUAACUUCGUG
rnacentral:rRNA from 1 species